GCCGCCCUAGCUCAGAGGUAGAGCAACGCACUCGUAAUGCGUAGGUCAUCGGUUCAACUCCGAUGGGCGGCUCCA
rnacentral:tRNA from 1 species